rnacentral:rRNA from 1 species
UACGGAGGGUGCGAGCGUUAAUCGGAAUUACUGGGCGUAAAGGGUGCGUAGGUGGUUGAUUAAGUUAUCUGUGAAAUUCCUGGGCUUAACCUAGGCAGGUCAGAUGAUACUGGUUGACUGGAGUAUGGGAGAGGGUAGUGGAAUUUCCGGUGUAGCGGUGAAAUGCGUAGAGAUCGGAAGGAACACCAGUGGCGAAGGCGGCUACCUGGCCUAAUACUGACACUGAGGCACGAAAGCGUGGGGAGCAAACAGG